AGAGUUUGAUCAUGGCUCAGGAUGAACGCUGGCGGCGUGCUUAACACACGCAAGUCGAACGAAGCAAUUGCGACAGAAGCCUUCGGGUGGAAGAUGUAAUUGACUGAGUGGCGGACGGGUGAGUAACGCGUGGGUAACCUGCCUUGUACAGGGGGAUAACAGUUAGAAAUGACUGCUAAUACCGCAUAAGCGCACAGUAUCGCAUGGUACAGUGUGAAAAACUCCGGUGGUACAAGAUGGACCCGCGUCUGAUUAGCUAGUUGGUAAGGUAACGGCUUACCAAGGCAACGAUCAGUAGCCGACUUGAGAGAGUGAUCGGCCACAUUGGGACUGAGACACGGCCCAAACUCCUACGGGAGGCAGCAGUGGGGAAUAUUGCACAAUGGGGGAAACCCUGAUGCAGCGACGCCGCGUGAGUGAAGAAGUAUUUCGGUAUGUAAAGCUCUAUCAGCAAGGGAGAUAAUGACGGUACUUGACUAAGAAGCCCCGGCUAACUACGUGCCAGCAGCCGCGGUAAUACGUAGGGGGCAAGCGUUAUCCGGAUUUACUGGGUGUAAAGGGAGCGUAGACGGUAUGGUAAGUCAGAUGUGAAAGCCCGGGGCUUAACCCCGGAACUGCAUUUGAAACUAUCAAAUUAGAGUGUCGGAGAGGUGAGUGGAAUUCUCUAGUGUAGCGGUGAAAUGCGUAGAUAUUAGGAGGAACACCAGUGGCGAAGGCGGCUUACUGGACGAUAACUGACGUUGAGGCUCGAAAGCGUGGGGAGCAAACAGGAUUAGGUACCCUGGUAGUCCACGCCGUAAACGAUGAAUACUAGGUGUCAGGGAACAUAUAGUUCUUUGGUGCCGCAGCAAACGCAUUAAGUAUUCCACCUGGGGAGUA
rnacentral:rRNA from 1 species